GGAAGGAUCAUUAACAAAUCGGUUAUAGGACGCAAGUCCUAUAUACACCCCAAAGGCCUAACACAGCAGGAGAUCACAGUUGUGGUGGAAUGCUGGGGGGGGCCUUUUGGUUGCAGUCCGCGAGGGCUGUAGGCACGGGUCUGCUUUGCGGCGGCCUAGCCACAUAGACGCUUGUAUGUUUGACAGAGUAUAGUUGGAUUUAAAAAAUACAACUUUUAACAAUGGAUCUCUUGGCUCUUGCAACGAUGAAGAACGCAGUGAAAUGCGAAAAGUAAUGCGAUUUGCAUGAAUCUGUGAGUCAUCAAGUCUUUGAACGCACCUUGCACCAUGCGAGCAAUUGUAUGGUAUACCUGUUUGAGAAUCGUAAAAAACCUCUUUCCACCGCAAGGCGGGAGAUUUGUCGGUUGUGCCCCUCACGGGGUACUCUGAUCAAAAGCAGUAGGUCCGGAUCAGGCUAGUGGCCUGGGACAUUGUGUGCUAGAGACGUUCGCCUUGUGCCUACAGUCUUCUCACAGUGCGUCCUAGGCCAUCAAGCUAACCUGGUCGAUCGGGUCUGUACAGUGAGUGAGCGCUUUGCUCAUGACCAACCCCCACUUUUGAUCUCAAAUCAGGUAAGGCUACCCGCUGAACUUAAGCAUAUCAGUAAGCGGAGGAAAAGAAACUAACAAGGAUUCCCCUAGUAACGGCGAGCGAAGCGGGAAGAGCUCAAAUUUAAAAUCUGGUAGGCCUGGCCUAUCCGAAUUGUAGUUUAAAGAGGUGUUAUCUGAUCAGUGCUCGGGACUCAAGUCCCUUGGAAUAGGGCGUCACAGAGGGUGAGAACCCCGUCUGGGCACCGAGUACUGGUCUCUAUGAGGCACUCUCUACGAGUCGGGUUGUUUGGGAAUGCAGCUCAAAAUGGGUGGUAAAUUUCAUCUAAGGCUAAAUACUGGCAAGAGACCGAUAGCGAACAAGUACCGUGAGGGAAAGAUGAAAAGCACCUUGAAAAGGGAGUUAAAUAGUGCGUGAAAUUGUUAAAAGGGAAACGAUUGAGACCAGUAUUGUUGGUGCUGUUCAGCAGCGGAUUGGUGCAAGCCCGUCUGCUGUGCAUUCAGUGGCAACGAGUCAGCGUCAGUUUGGGUUUCCGGAGAGAGGCUGGGGGAAGAUGGGGUCGGCCUUCGGGCCAACCUUUUAUAGACCCCAGCUGGCACGGGAGCCUGGACUGAGGUGAGCGACUGCCGUACUCUUGACCAAAGACUAGCCCCCAUGGUGCAGGACUACACGUAGGCCUUUACAGCAAGGGAUAGAUGUAUGGUCAAGCAGGUAGUUCCAGGAUGCUGACGAAAUGGUCUUAAACGACCCGUCUUGAAACACGGACCAAGGAGUCUAACAUAUAUGCGAGUAUUUGGGUGGCAAACCCGGGUGCGUAAUAAAAGUGAUUUGGAUGAGAGCGUGUCCCUCGGGGUGCGUGCAUCAUCGACCGAACCUUGAUGUCCUCUGAUAGGUUUGAGUAAGAGCAUAUCUGUUGGGACCCGAAAGGUAGUGAACUAUGCCUGGAUAGGAUGAAGCCAGAGGAAACUCUGGUGGAGGUCCGUAGCCGUUCUGACGUGCAAAUCGAUGGUCAAAUCUGGGUAUAGGGGCGAAAGACUAAUCGAACUACCUAGUAGCUGGUUCCCUC
rnacentral:misc_RNA from 1 species